UGGACAGGCAUGGUCGAGCUUGUCUCCUCUACCCUCGCCUUCUUCGCCGACCCAGAAGUGACAGCGCUUUUCCUCUUGUGGGCUUUGAGACUCUUGGCUAGCAUCCGAGCUGCGUCUGCGUCCAUAUCUGCGAUGAAAAAAAAUCGGCUUUGGGGGGCUGGAGCAGACGAACUCCUAGAACUGCUAGAGGAGAAAGUGUUGGAGGACAUUUUGAAUCAAAUGAAAAUCCCGAAAAAAUUGAGAAAAAUAGGAAACAACGUGCUUGCGGAGAAACUGAACGGACGGAAUGCGGAGGAAGAAAAACGGAAGAACAGCAAGAAAAAGAAGAGUUCCGGAACUAACCUAGGCUGGUCCGAGAGGUGUA
rnacentral:lncRNA from 1 species